AACGAACGCUGGCGGCGUGGAUAAGACAUGCAAGUCGAACGGGAUUGCUUCUGUAGCAAUACAGGAGCAGUCUAGUGGCGUAAGGGUGCGUAACACGUGGGCAAUCUGCCGAGAAGUGGGGGAUAGCUCGCCGAAAGGCGAAUUAAUACCGCAUGUGGCCAGGGAAGACAUCUUCCUGACGCCAAAGCCGGGGCAACCUGGCGCUUCUUGAUGAGCCCGCGGCCUAUCAGCUUGUUGGCGGGGUAACGGCCCACCAAGGCUAUGACGGGUAGCUGGUCUGAGAGGACGACCAGCCACACUGGAACUGAGACACGGUCCAGACACCUACGGGUGGCAGCAGUCGAGAAUUUUUCNCAAUGGGGAAACCCUGAAGGAGCGACGCCGCGUGGAGGAUGAAGGUCUUCGGAUUGUAAACUCC
rnacentral:rRNA from 1 species